GCUCGGGUCGGCCGGAUCUAGGAGGAGCAGAGGCUUCACCGUGGGCUUGGUAGGGAUACCGUCCAGCACGACCUCGGCCAAGAAGGCAGCAGGUCUACGCCACCUUCUUCCCGUGCUGAUGCCGUGUCUGAGCCCUACCUCACCACAAGUACUGCUCCAUUUCUCUUUUUGAAUCACCACCGGUUCUUGAUUUCUUUGUGAUCUAAAUAUUAAAGAUGUUUAUUCCAUUGAUUAAAGAUGCUUGCCAUUAGGAAAUAUAUAUAUAUUAGCUGCACGUUGUGUAGAACUCAAGAAUGCUUAGAGGCACUCCAUGCAUGGGUUGUUUUAGCUGCACAUGUACUGUCCGGCUGUUCAAAUUUGAGCUAUUUUCCAGUUAAUUAUUUAAUUAACUCUUAAUU
rnacentral:sRNA from 1 species